rnacentral:rRNA from 1 species
UGGGGAAUAUUGGACAAUGGGCGCAAGCCUGAUCCAGCCAUGCCGCGUGAGUGAUGAAGGCCCUAGGGUUGUAAAGCUCUUUCAACGGUGAAGAUAAUGACGGUAACCGUAGAAGAAGCCCCGGCUAACUUCGUGCCAGCAGCCGCGGUAAUACGAAGGGGGCUAGCGUUGUUCGGAAUUACUGGGCGUAAAGCGCACGUAGGCGGAUUGUUAAGUUAGGGGUGAAAUCCCAGGGCUCAACCCUGGAACUGCCUUUAAUACUGGCAAUCUCGAGUCCGAGAGAGGUGAGUGGAAUUCCGAGUGUAGAGGUGAAAUUCGUAGAUAUUCGGAGGAACACCAGUGGCGAAGGCGGCUCACUGGCUCGGUACUGACGCUGAGGUGCGAAAGCGUGGGGAGCAAACA